rnacentral:rRNA from 1 species
AUUGAACGCUGGCGGCAGGCCUAACACAUGCAAGUCGAGCGGAUGAAGGGAGCUUGCUCCUGGAUUCAGCGGCGGACGGGUGAGUAAUGCCUAGGAAUCUGCCUGGUAGUGGGGGAUAACGUCCGGAAACGGGCGCUAAUACCGCAUACGUCCUGAGGGAGAAAGUGGGGGAUCUUCGGACCUCACGCUAUCAGAUGAGCCUAGGUCGGAUUAACUAGUUGGUGGGGUAAAGGCCUACCAAGGCGACGAUCCGUAACUGGUCUGAGAGGAUGAUCAGUCACACUGGAACUGAGACACGGUCCAGACUCCUACGGGAGGCAGCAGUGGGGAAUAUUGGACAAUGGGCGAAAGCCUGAUCCAGCCAUGCCGCGUGUGUGAAGAAGGUCUUCGGAUUGUAAAGCACUUUAAGUUGGGAGGAAGGGCAGUAAGUUAAUACCUUGCUGUUUUGACGUUACCAACAGAAUAAGCACCGGCUAACUUCGUGC